GACAGAGGUGCCGAGCGUUAGGCGGAAUCACUGGGCUUAAAGCGUGUGUAGGCGGAUCUGUAAGUACCUUGUGAAAUCCCACGGCUCAACCGUGGAACUGCUUGGUAUACUGCGGGUCUUGAGCCACCUAGGGGCAAGUGGAACAAACGGUGGAGCGGUGAAAUGCGUAGAUAUCGGAAGGAACAUCAGUGGCGAAAGCGGCUUCCUGGUCCAGCACCGACGUUCAGGCACGAAAGCGUGGGGAGCAAACAGG
rnacentral:rRNA from 1 species